rnacentral:rRNA from 1 species
UACGUAGGAGGCAAGCGUUGUCCGGAAUUACUGGGCGUAAAGGGCUCGUAGGCGGCCAACUAAGUCAGACGUGAAAUCCCUCGGCUUAACCGGGGAACUGCAUCUGAUACUGGAUGGCUUGAGUUCGGGAGGAGGGAUGCGGAAUUCCAGGUGUAGCGGUGAAAUGCGUAGAUAUCUGGAGGAACACCGGUGGCGAAGGCGGCAUCCUGGACCGACGACUGACGCUGAGGAGCGAAAGCCAGGGGA